rnacentral:rRNA from 1 species
UACGUAGGUGGCGAGCGUUGUCCGGAUUUACUGGGCGUAAAGGGUGCGUAGGCGGAUGUUUAAGUGGGAUGUGAAAUCCCCGGGCUUAACCUGGGGGCUGCAUUCCAAACUGGAUAUCUAGAGUGCAGGAGAGGAAAGCGGAAUUCCUAGUGUAGCGGUGAAAUGCGUAGAGAUUAGGAAGAACACCAGUGGCGAAGGCGGAUUUCUGGACUGUAACUGACGCUGAGGCACGAAAGCGUGGGUAG